rnacentral:snRNA from 1 species
GUGCUCGCUUCGGCAGCACAUACACUACAAUUGGAACGAUACAGAGAAGAUUAGCAUGGCCCCUGCACAAGGAUGACACGCAAAUUCGUGAAGUGUUCCAUAUUAAA